GCUGCAUUGUGGCUUAGUGGUAGAGUACUUGCCUAGCACGUGUGAGGCCCUGGGUUAAAACCAGGGCACCA
rnacentral:tRNA from 1 species